CAGAUUUAUCUUUGGCUUGGAUACAAUUAAAAAACAAUAACCAAAAAAAACCCACAAAAGGAAACCCACAGUGCAGAGGGACGGUUAAGCAUUUGUGUUUGAAACUCAAAACAGCCAACACACUGAGCAAGAGCCUGCCUGAGGCUAGUCUACCUGUUCCUGUUGAGUCUGGCACUAACUGUGCAAGGCGUAUGAAGACCAGAGAAAAGGGCACACCUGUAUUUGACAUUGCAGUUUAUGUGCUGAGUGUGGGUUUCUCCCUUGGGCCAAGCUGCCCUUUCCAUCCUUCUGCCAGGUCCUCCCCAGGAGUCUCCUCAGUGGCACUCAUUACAAUAUAUCAGACAAC